rnacentral:rRNA from 1 species
GAUGAACGCUGGCGGCGUGCCUAACACAUGCAAGUCGAGCGAAGUUAUUCCUUCGGGGAUAACUUAGCGGCGGACGGGUGAGUAACACGUGGGUAACCUGCCUUAUAGAGGGGGACAGCCUUCCGAAAGGAAGAUUACUACCGCAUAACAUUGAGCUUUCGCAUGGAAGCUUAAUCAAAGGAGCAAUCCGCUAUAAGAUGGACCCGCGGCGCAUUAGCUAGUUGGUGAGGUAACGGCUCACCAAGGCGACGAUGCGUAGCCGACCUGAGAGGGUGAUCGGCCACAUUGGGACUGAGACACGGCCCAGACUCCUACGGGAGGCAGCAGUGGGGAAUAUUGCACAAUGGGGGAAACCCUGAUGCAGCAACGCCGCGUGAGUGAUGACGGUCUUCGGAUUGUAAAGCUCUGUCUUUGGGGACGAUAAUGACGGUACCCAAGGAGGAAGCCACGGCUAACUACGUGCCAGCCGCCGCGGUAAGAC